rnacentral:rRNA from 1 species
UACGUAGGGGGCGAGCGUUGUCCGGAUUUAUUGGGCGUAAAGCGCGGGCAGGCGGCCCCGUAAGUCGGCCGUGAAAGCGCCGGGCUCAACUCGGCGAGGACGGGCGAGACUGCAGGGCUGGAGAGAGGCAGAGGGCGGUGGAAUUCCGGGUGUAGUGGUGGAAUGCGUAGAGCUCCGGAGGAACACCAGUGGCGAAGGCGGCCGCCUGGGCCUUUUCUGACGCUGAGCCGCGAAAGCGUGGGGAGCGAGCCGG